ensembl:lncRNA
UUUUUUUUUUAGAUCAAGCAACCUCAUAAGCAAAUCGAACCUCAGCGGCUCAUAAUGGAACUGUAAGGCAGCGGCCGUCGGUCAUUUAGUCGGUCAAAAAGACGGAAAUAUUGAACAACCACAACUGCUCCGACCUGCUGGCUGCUGCCGUCAACUGGCACUAACAACUUCCAAAACUACUACUACUACUUCCACUAUUAGUACUACUACCAUCGCGACACAAUCAGAGAGAGAGAGAGAGAGUCAGUUUCUUUCAGUUUGCCUUCAAGUCAUCACUUAUAAAAUGAUAUCCGAAGCUACGAUAUGAAACUAAUGGAGGUUUAAAGCUCGAGAGGCGUACAGCAGAAAAGUCUCCUUGUAGCAGUAAAUUUAUCAGCUUCUCUAAUAUCAUGUGGUCCAAAUUGACCCUUAAAAUUUUCAAAAUAAAAGCCAAGGGUGUUCAAAUUUCUUCAUGGCUUUCAGAUUUCUUUCUUUCUGUUUUAGCAGCUAAUACCUUGUGCUAAACAGGGAACUGGAAAAGUUAUGGACAAACUGAAAAUCUGGCUUUUUUUUGUUACCGAAUAUUAGUACACUUGUGCAGUUGUAGUACCUCGCAAAGCACUCGGUGCUAGAUUGUCUGUCGGGACUAUUUGAAGCUAACAGCUUGCAAGCUAACAGCUAAUGUACUAGCUAGUAAGGAGCAUUUGGUGCCUUCAAAUGGAACCCGUGAUCUUGUGACACAAAAUGUUUUUAUUUUUAAACCAAAUACUUUAUGUUCCAGUGGUAAAAUCGGACUGAGGCUAACCAUUUAGCAAGCUAACAAGCAGAUGACGUAAAUAGAGAUGCACAGGCUUAAUAAAAAAUAAAACUGUUAGAAAUAUCAAAAUUUCCUCGCUCUUUAUGACUCUAAUUACAAUAUGUUAACUUAAAAGCCACUAAAAAUAAACUUUCAUGGCCUCCACUGUUUCUAAAAAUGCCUGCAAAUGCGGCACAACCGGAAGCUUUUGGAAAAUUUUCACUUGAGUUGUGAUAAGAGUGAAGCAUUUAUAUGGACUAGCUGUGUGAACGCGACGCCAUUUGCAGGCAGCAAGAGUCGCAAAAGCUUUCUGAACUAGCUAGCUAGCUAGUUGGCUCCUAUUCAUUACCUUGCGAUAAAAGUGAAAAAACAACACCUGUUUCAUAUUUUUCUAAAUAUUACGUUGGUGGUGAAGCUGUACACUGAAUACACUCAGAAAAUCUACUUUGUCUAGACAGUUUGUUGCUGCUCAGAAGCAUGAAUUAGCAUUUAAUUUUUCAAAAUGUAGGCGGGAAAUGCUCAUAUUUGUCAAGAUUUAACAGAAUUUUUCAAAACUUGUUCAGAUUUACUCGAAGUAUUGUGCGAAAAUUCGAUUUUACACGCCACCAUGGUGAACACAGCCCCAUUGAAAUUACAAAAGCGUUCUGAGCUAGCUUGUUAGCUGGCUAAUUUGCUGCCAUUCGUUAGCUUGUUUAAAAUGGGAUACAAGUUAAAGCGAGAAUUUUGUUUCAUAUUUGUACAAACGUUACGUUGAUAGUGAAACUACAUAGCCAACUCUAAAUCAGCGGCCUUGAAUUAGCAUGAGCAUUUUCAUUAAUUUAGGCGGGAAACACUCGUGUUUGUCAAGAUGUAACAGAAUUUAUGAAAAUUUGUGCUGAUUUGCACAAACGAUUUUGUGGAAAUUAGAUUUUAGUCUGUCGCACGGUGAGCACAACCCCAUUUGAAGGCAGUGAGAGUCGUGAAAUUGUUCCGAGCUAGCUAACUAGCUAGCUAGUUUGGUAUUCGUUACAUGUGAUUCAUACCUACAUAAACAUGGUGACGCUAACACAGUAUCGGUGGCCUUGAGUUAGCAUUAGCAUUUUCAUUAAGUUAGGUGGGAACAGCUCAUGUUUGACAAAAUUCAUGUGGAUUUGUGCACAGAUCUUACGACUUUACACUCCUGUCCGCCCAUUUGCUGAAAGCAGGAAAAUUGGCAACACUUAAUCAGGCAGAUCUUCAGUAAAGUUAGUGCUAGCGCUACAGAACCACAACAUUAGUGGCGUUUCCCUUAAAUGACGCAGAAUGAAGUUAAAGUGUGUGAGUUUUUUUAGCUGUAGCUGUUGCAGGUCUGUAAAGAAGCCGCCGCCCCUCUCUCUCAGCUGUUUACGGUUUUGUCGGCUCUGUUAACCCUCUCCCUGGGAAUCCGUAUGACUGUGUGUUUGUUGUGUGCGCGGCCAUAUGAAUACUGGACUUCCAUUCGAAUGCACGUGGACUGUUUUUAAAUGUAUUUAUUUGGAGCCCAGCUGUGUGUGUGUUUGUGCGUUUGUUUAGUUUCUACAAUGACUUGAGAAGAAGCCAUGUAUUAAAAAUAUCACAUUUAUGCUGCAGAACUGUUUUGAGGAACUGAUGGUUUGUGUUGUGGACUACCCGGCUUGCCGUAGGCGCGGCGGCUCGGACUUAGCAAUAAGAAUCCCUCUGAAUCCAAAAAGCUUUAUGUAGAUCUCCUGUAUAUGAGUUGAACAGACUGUCCGGGUCUAUUGGUUCUGUUGUUGUUUAUUUUUAGUUUGGCUGAGAAAUGUUUGGGUUUUUUUGUCGUGUUUAUUAUUUUUUCCUCUAUGACAUAUAAAUGUGUAUAAAACUGUGAAAAUCCAUUGUGUUCAGUUAAAGGGUGAGUUUUAGGUUAGGUUUUUUUUUGCAUGUUAAUCUAAUUUGUUCAAUUAAGGAUGAUUUCUCCUUUUCUCCAUCACUUCUCGUGCUACAUAUAUAUAUAAAUAUAAAAGUAUAUAUAAUCUCGCUCUCAGGGUCUUUCACAAAUCCAUUAUUCGAAAUAUUUCAUGUUCUUAUUUCCUGAGUUGCAACUUGUCCUGAUUACUUUGUCUCUUUUUUUUUUUUUUUUUUUUAAUAAUUCAGAACUGUCAAUCACUACAUUUAGCACUUGACUGUGAACUCGUCGUCACCUAACAGGUUGGAUUUUGGUGUUUAAAAACCGGAGCACCGUCGACGUGUUUUGGUUCUCUUCCCGUCGUUCGGACGUUCGGUUUGAGGCCUUUUUUUUCUGCGGAAACACAAACGUUCAUGCUAAACCUCAAUCAGAAAGCAUUAAAGCCACAAUCAGCAGGACGUCCUGAGGUUGUGUCCGGCGUCGGCCCUCUCCUGCCCCCUGCUGUUAGCAACACGUGACGGUGUCUCACCAAGUCAAGAGAUGUAAACCUGUUCUGUAUUCAACCCAAUAAGAAAAAGCAAUAAAGAUUAUAUUAAGGAAAGGUGUGUGAAUCAAACGACAUCCACGUUUUUGUCUUUUUUUCCUCUCUUCUGGAGCAUUUUAGCGCAGUUCACAGGUCAGAAAUGUAGUUUUGAGCCAAAAAAU